rnacentral:rRNA from 1 species
AGUGAACGCUGGCGGUAGGCCUAACACAUGCAAGUCGAACGGCAGCACAGGAGAGCUUGCUCUCUGGGUGGCGAGCGGCGGACGGGUGAGGAAUACAUCGGAAUCUACUCUGUCGUGGGGGAUAACGUAGGGAAACUUACGCUAAUACCGCAUACGACCUACGGGUGAAAGCAGGGGACCUUCGGGCCUUGCGCAAUUGAAUGAGCCGGUGUCGGAUUAGCUAGUUGGCGGGGUAAAGGCCCACCAAGGCGACGAUCCGUAGCUGGUCUGAGAGGAUGAUCAGCCACACUGGAACUGAGACACGGUCCAGACUCCUACGGGAGGCAGCAGUGGGGAAUAUUGGACAAUGGGCGCAAGCCUGAUCCAGCCAUACCGCGUGGGUGAAGAAGGCCUUCGGGUUGUAAAGCCCUUUUGUUGGGAAAGAAAUCCAGCUGGCUAAUACCCGGUUGGGAUGACGGUACCCAAAGAAUAAGCACCGGCUAACUUCGUGCCAGCAGCCGCAGUAA